CCCAGCCGAUAGCGAACAAGUAGAGUGAUCGAAAGAUGAAAAGCACUUUGAAAAGAGAGUUAAACAGCACGUGAAAUUGUUGAAAGGAAGCGUUGGCAACCAGACUCGCCCGGGAGGGCUCAGCCGGCACGUGUGCCGGUGCACUCCCCCCCGGGCGGGCCGGCGUCGGUUUGGGCGGUCGGUCAAGGCCCCGGGAAUGUGGCACCCUCCGGG
rnacentral:rRNA from 1 species